rnacentral:tRNA from 2 species
GUUUCCGUAGCUCAGCUGGAUAGAGCAUCAGUUUCCUAAACUGAGGGUCGCAGGUUCAAAUCCCGCCGGAAACGCCA